rnacentral:rRNA from 1 species
GAUGAACGCUGGCGGCGUGCUUAACACAUGCAAGUCGAGCGAAGCGAUUUUAAGGAAGCCUUCGGGUGGAAUUAAAAUUGACUUAGCGGCGGACAGGUGAGUAACGCGUGGGUAACCUGCCUCAUACAGGGGGAUAACAGUUAGAAAUGACUGCUAAUACCGCAUAAGCGCACAGUGCUGCAUAGCACAGUGUGAAAAACUCCGGUGGUAUGAGAGGGACCCGCGUCUGACUAGGUAGUUGGUGAGGUAACGGCCCACCAAGCCGACGAUCAGUAGCCGACCUGAGAGGGUGACCGGCCACAUUGGGACUGAGACACGGCCCAAACUCCUACGGGAGGCAGCAGUGGGGAAUAUUGGACAAUGGGGGAAACCCUGAUCCAGCGACGCCGCGUGACUGAAGAAGUAUUUCGGUAUGUAAAGGUCUAUCAGCAGGGAAGAAAAUGACGGUACCUGACUAAGAAGCCCCGGCUAACUACGUGCCAGCAGCCGCCGUAA